AACUUUCAACAACGGAUCUCUUGGUUCCGGCAUCGAUGAAGAACGCCAGCGAAAUGCGAUAAGUAAUGUGAAUUGCAGAAUUCCGUGAAUCAUCGAAUCUUUGAACGCACAUUGCGCCCUCUGGUAUUCCGGAGGGCAUGCCUGUUCGAGCGUCAUUUCAACCCCUUCAAGCCCG
rnacentral:rRNA from 1 species